CAUAUAUAUUUGACCCAGUCGCAGAGCGAAAACAAAUGUUCCAACAUCUUUGGGGCUCGGCGACACACAUGGCACCAGGGGUCAAGGACGAGCUUCCUUUUGACGAGGUUUUCUUUGGAUGUGAGAUUCCAAGAU